AAUAACCUGGGAUGUACGAUAAACCUUAUUUUGAACCUACAUUAUUUAUAAGGGAGCUUUAUAUCGCAUAUCGGAUGUCAUGCCCUCAAUGCUGGGGAAGACAAUAGAUAUGUUGCGAGCACCCACCUGGCUAUGCUAGGGGUCAAAAUUGGGUAACGGCAUUCUGGGAAAGAA
rnacentral:other from 1 species